UUGGCAGAUCGUGGAAUUUAGUAAACAGUGCGAAUCCCAAUAAUAAAGCAUUUGAUGCUUUUCUUCUUCUACCUCACUUUUUUUUUUUUUAUCAAGUAGACAACAUUUUUAUUUUAUUUUUUAUACUAUGAUAAUAAUAAUAAUAAUGUCAAUGUAUGUCCUCGUUGUCGAAAGCACAAAAUAUUUGAUGUGUUAAACAAAAAAAAUAAUUUGAUUUUGAUUCAUGUUUUAUAGGCAAAAUUUUAUCUUAGGAUCCCAAUAAUUGUGGGAUAAACUGAUCCGUUCGUACUAAUGCUUUUACAAUUAUAUGCGACUUAUGAAAAAAAUAAUUGGAGUCAAUUGUUAUGUAUUCUUAUAAAAAAAAAAAAAUUGUUAUGUACGAAUUAUAAAGCCUCGGCUAUAUAUUGGAAUUUUCUUGAUCGAUCGAGUUGCUUUGGAACUUCGAUAUUUAUUUGGUUUAAGAAUAAUUUAGUUUCUCCAUGGGUUUAUAAAAAAUUUGAGUAACAAUAUUCAAAUAUUUGUUGUCAAUACAACAAAAAUCUCAUUUAAUAAUAAAGAAGUUAUUAUUGUUUGAUUAUGAAAUAAUAGUACAUAUAUACUUUUUGGUAAGCAUUUUUUUUUUUUUUGUCAUCACUUUUUGGUAAGCAUUAUGGUUACAAAUCUCAAAUAGUUAAAUCUUGUUUUUAAUCAAAUAUCUAAAAAGAAAUAGAGAUUGCAAAAUAUCAUAAAACAAUCACUCAGAUUUCAA
rnacentral:lncRNA from 1 species